CAACCAUCAAGCCCCGGGCUUGUGUUGGGGACCUGCGGCUGCCGCAGGCCCUGAAAAGCAGUGGCGGGCUCGCUGUCACACCGAGCGUAGUAGCAUACAUCUCGCUCUGGGCGUGCUGCGGGUUCCGGCCGUUAAACCCCCCACCUCUCACAA
rnacentral:misc_RNA from 1 species